GAUGAACGCUGGCGGCGUGCCUAAUACAUGCAAGUCGAGCGAACAGACGAGGAGCUUGCUCCUCUGACGUUAGCGGCGGACGGGUGAGUAACACGUGGAUAACCUACCUAUAAGACUGGGAUAACUUCGGGAAACCGGCGCUAAUACCGGAUAACAUGUUGAACCGCAUGGUUCAACAGUGAAAGACGGUCUUGCUGUCACUUAUAGCUGGAUCCGCGCCGCAUUAGCUAGUUGGUAAGGUAACGGCUUACCACGGCAACGAUGCGUAGCCGACGUGAGAGGGGGAUGGGCCACAGUGGAGGUGAGACACGGCCCAGACACUGACGGAAGGCAGCGGUAGGUAAGGGUGCGCGAAGGGCGAAAGCCUGAAGGAGCGGCGGAGGGUGGGUGAAGAAGGUCUGCGGGUCGUAAAACGCUGUUAGGGGGGAAGAACGAAUGUGUAAGUAACUAUGCACGACUUGAGGGUACCGAAGCAGAAAGCCAGGCCAAAUACGGG
rnacentral:rRNA from 1 species